rnacentral:rRNA from 1 species
CUUCGUAUGUACAAGCMUGCUAGUCUUUGUAGUAAUACAAGGCAUACGGCUCAGUAACGCGUAGUCAACCUACCCUAUGGACGGGGAUAAUCUCGGGAAACUGAGCAUAAUACCCGGCAGACCACUUAUCCUGGAAUGGUUAGUGGUUAAAAUGAUUCGUCGCCAUAGGAUGGGACUGCGGCCUAUCAGCUUGUYGGUGAGGUAAUGGCCCACCAAGGCGAUUACAGGUACGGGCUCUGAGAGGAGAGGCCCGGAGAUGGGUACUGAGACAAGGACCCAGGCCCUAUGGGGCGCAGCAGGCGAGAAAACUUUGCAAUGUGCGAAAGCACGACAAGGUUAAUCCGAGUGAUUUCUGCUAAAGGAAUCUUUUGUUAGUUCUAAAAAUACUAGUGAAUAAGGGGUGGGCAAGUUCUGGUGUCAGCCGCCGCGGUAAAACCAGCACCUCAAGUGGUCAGGAGGAUUAUUGGGCCUAAAGCAUCCGUAGCCUGUUCUAUAAGUUUGCGGUUAAAUCUAUACGCUCAACGUAUAGGCUGCCGUAAAUACUGUAGAACUAGGGAGUGGGAGAGGUAGACGGUACUCGAUAGGAAGGGGUAAAAUCCUUUGAUCUAUUGAUGACCACCUGUGGCGAAGGC